rnacentral:rRNA from 1 species
AUUGAAUGCUGGCGGCAGGCCUAACACAUGCAAGUCGAACGGUAACAGGAAGCAGCUUGCUGCUUUGCUGACGAGUGGCGGACGGGUGAGUAAUGUCUGGGAAACUGCCCGAUGGAGGGGGAUAACUACUGGAAACGGUAGCUAAUACCGCAUAACGUCGCAAGACCAAAGAGGGGGACCUUAGGGCCUCUUGCCAUCGGAUGUGCCCAGAUGGGAUUAGCUAGUAGGUGGGGUAACGGCUCACCUAGGCGACGAUCCCUAGCUGGUCUAAGAGGAUGACCAGCCACACUGGAACUGAGACACGGUCCAGACUCCUACGGGAGGCAGCAGUGGGGAAUAUUGCACAAUGGGCGCAAGCCUGAUGCAGCCAUGCCGCGUGUAUGAAGAAGGCCUUCGGGUUGUAAAGUACUUUCAGCGGGGAGGAAGGGAGUAAAGUUAAUACCUUUGCUCAUUGACGUUACCCGCAGAAGAAGCACCGGCUAACUCCGUG